GUUUUAGAUGUGGGGAAACAGGAGAGGCAGGGCUGUGGUCAGAGGAUGUUGCUGACAGGCAGAAGGUUUUUAGUUGAGAGGUAAAAGGUUCCCUACAUAUUCAAGGUGUUUCUGUUCUGUUUGAAUCUGGAUUCUUUGCAGAGGGGAAGUGACCCGAAGAUGUUGCUGUAUCGUCCGUUUGCACUGGGAGGAGGCAGAAAGGCAGCGUUUCUGCUGUCCAGUGAGAUUCGAGCAGAAAUCAUCUGAUACCCAAUGAUAUUAGAUCUAUAUUUGUGUGGAAUACUUCAGGAAGGACCCCUGGACUUUGUCCACAUUUUGUUGUGUUACAGCCUGAAUUUAAAAUGGAUUAAAUUCAUUGUGUUUGACACUGUCCAACACACAAUAUUCCAAAGCAUGCAUCUUGUUUGCAACAAGGCACUAAAGUAACACUGCAAAAAUGUGGCAAAGAAAUUAACUUUUUGUCCUGAAUACAAAGUGUUACGUUUGGGGCAAAUCCAAUACAACACAUUACUGAGUACCACUCUCCAUAUUUUCAAGCAUAGUGGUGGCUGCAUCAUGUUAUGGGUAUGCUUGUAAUUGUUAAGGACUGGGGAGUUUUUCAGGAUAAAAAAAUAAACAGACUGGAGCUAAACACAGGAAGAAUUCUAGAGGAAAACCUGGUUCAGUCUGCUUUCCACCAGACACUGGGAGAGGAGUUCACCUUUCAUCAGGACAAUAAACCUAAAACACAAGGCCAAAAUCU
ensembl:lncRNA